rnacentral:rRNA from 1 species
AACAUGCAAGUCGAACGAUGAUCAGGAGCUUGCUCCUGUGAUUAGUGGCGAACGGGUGAGUAACACGUGAGUAACCUGCCCCUGACUCUGGGAUAAGCGUUGGAAACGACGUCUAAUACUGGAUACGACUGCCGGCCGCAUGGUCUGGUGGUGGAAAGAUUUUUUGGUUGGGGAUGGACUCGCGGCCUAUCAGCUUGUUGGUGAGGUAAUGGCUCACCAAGGCGACGACGGGUAGCCGGCCUGAGAGGGUGACCGGCCACACUGGGACUGAGACACGGCCCAGACUCCUACGGGAGGCAGCAGUGGGGAAUAUUGCACAAUGGGCGAAAGCCUGAUGCAGCAACGCCGCGUGAGGGAUGACGGCCUUCGGGUUGUAAACCUCUUUUAGUAGGGAAGAAGCGAAAGUGACGGUACCUGCAGAAAAAGCACCGGCUAACUACGUGCCAGCAGCCGCGGUAAUACGUAGGGUGCAAGCGUUGUCCGGAAUUAUUGGGCGUAAAGAGCUCGUAGGCGGUUUGUCGCGUCUGCUGUGAAAUCCCGAGGCUCAACCUCGGGCUUGCAGUGGGUACGGGCAGACUAGAGUGCGGUAGGGGAGAUUGGAAUUCCUGGUGUAGCGGUGGAAUGCGCAGAUAUCAGGAGGAACACCGAUGGCGAAGGCAGAUCUCUGGGCCGUAACUGACGCUGAGGAGCGAAAGCGUGGGGAGCGAACAGGAUUAGAUACCCUGGUAGUCCACGCCGUAAACGUUGGGCGCUAGAUGUAGGGACCUUUCCACGGUUUCUGUGUCGUAGCUAACGCAUUA